AAGCUGAUACCUGUCCUGCCUUCACAUCUCUUUUCUGGGGCCAAGAAACUUCAUGUAUCCUUUGUGGCCUUCCCCUAACACUCUGCUUUGGAAUUCAGAUUAGACAAAGUGAAGUAAGGGGGCAGCCAGGUUCUACCAUGAACAUCAAGACAGUUGAUUGUCACUAGGAUAUGUGUACCAGAUGGAGGAGAGAUCCUUUGGUGUCCCCAGCCCCUUGCUGGCAGUUGAGAAAUCUGGAAUUGCUCUCUGCAACACUGCUUAGCAACAACUAAAAACACUGGUGCGUUACCAACAUUGUUUUUCUCCUAAAACCAAAACACAGCAUCAUACCAGACACUCUGAAGAUAAGCAAUUCUGCCUCAGCUGAAACUAAGACAUCAUCAUACACUUCCAGGUUUUAUUUAGCUGAUAAUAUCCAAACUUAUCAGAAUACAGAGCAAUUAACUCAAUUCUGGGCAUGGCUGUUGCAAACUCAUGCACUCACAAAUACUGAUGACCUUCUCUGCACAGCAGCACAGCUGAGGAGAAGAAGAGUACAAAAGCCCCAGAUCAACCUUUCUGAAGUAUCCAAUGUUUUUUUAUUACGAUUUAGGACUGCUAGGAUUCACCUGGUAAAGUGUGCAGAACUGUAUUGUCUGCAACACAAAAUGGCACCUACUUUCUACCUCAGAUACUACUGGAGCUGCAUUGCAACUCACCUUUGCCUGGAGGAGGUUUCUAAAGUAUGCCAGAUGAGUCAUUUCUUGGAAAUGCAUGUUUCUCUCCUUUGACUGUAAAAAGAAUGACUGCUCAUGGAAGAAGGUGGGAUGCAUAUAGCGAGGUGACGUGAAUCCCACUUGUGAUGGCACAGCAUGGUGCUCUGCACACGCAGACUGCAGCUGUUCAGGUCUCUGUCAGAGAACAAGGAACAGUCAGCGAUCCCCAUGGAUAUUUGGAUGUCAAGGCUGUCAACAGGACAGCAAUCAGCUUCCCUGAUGUGGUCGUUCUCCUAAUUUUACCUUACUGGGUGGGUCCAGCUCAUGUAAUGCAUGCCUCUCUCCUUCAUAACGCAGGAGGCUGUGAAUCCAGAAAUAAAAUCAGAAAUGCCUUUAUGUCCAG
rnacentral:lncRNA from 1 species